rnacentral:rRNA from 1 species
ACGAACGCUGGCGGCACGCUUAACACAUGCAAGUCGAACGAGAGAAGAGAAGCUUGCUUUUCUGAUCUAGUGGCGGACGGGUGAGUAACACGUGAGCAAUCUGCCUUUCAGAGGGGGAUACCGAUUGGAAACGAUCGUUAAUACCGCAUAAUAUAAUUGAACCGCAUGAUUUGAUUAUCAAAGAUUUAUCGCUGAAAGAUGAGCUCGCGUCUGAUUAGCUAGUUGGUAAGGUAACGGCUUACCAAGGCGACGAUCAGUAGCCGGACUGAGAGGUUGAUCGGCCACAUUGGGACUGAGACACGGCCCAGACUCCUACGGGAGGCAGCAGUGGGGAAUAUUGCACAAUGGAGGAAACUCUGAUGCAGCGAUGCCGCGUGAGGGAAGAAGGUUUUAGGAUUGUAAACCUCUGUCUUCAGGGACGAAAAAAGACGGUACCUGAGGAGGAAGCUCCGGCUAACUACGUGCCAGCAGCCGCGGUAAUACGUAGGGAGCGAGCGUUGUCCGGAAUUACUGGGUGUAAAGGGAGCGUAGGCGGGAUCGCAAGUCAGAUGUGAAAACUAUGGGCUUAACCCAUAAACUGCAUUUGAAACUGUGGUUCUUGAGUGAAGUAGAGGUAAGCGGAAUUCCUAGUGUAGCGGUGAAAUGCGUAGAUAUUAGGAGGAACAUCAGUGGCGAAGGCGGCUUACUGGGCUUUAACUGACGCUGAGGCUCGAAAGCGUGGGGAGCAAACAGGAUUAGAUACCCUGGUAGUCCACGCCGUAAACGAUGAUUACUAGGUGUGGGGGGACUGACCCCUUCCGUGCCGCAGCAAACGCAAUAAGUAAUCCACCUGGGGAGUACGACCGCAAGGUUGAAACUCAAAGGAAUUGACGGGGGCCCGCACAAGCAGUGGAGUAUGUGGAUUUAUUCGAAGCAACGCGAAGAACCUUACCAGGUCUUGACAUCGUAUGCAUAGCUCAGAGAUGAGUGAAAUCUCUUCGGAGACAUAUAGACAGGUGGUGCAUGGUUGUCGUCAGCUCGUGUCGUGAGAUGUUGGGUUAAGUCCCGCAACGAGCGCAACCCUUACUGUUAGUUGCUACGCAAGAGCACUCUAGCAGGACUGCCGUUGACAAAACGGAGGAAGGUGGGGAUGACGUCAAAUCAUCAUGCCCCUUAUGACCUGGGCCUCACACGUACUACAAUGGCUGUUAACAGAGGGAUGCAAAGCCGCGAGGUGGAGCGAACCCCUAAAAGCAGUCUUAGUUCGGAUUGUAGGCUGCAACCCGCCUACAUGAAGUCGGAAUUGCUAGUAAUCGCAGAUCAGCAUGCUGCGGUGAAUACGUUCCCGGGCCUUGUACACACCGCCCGUCACGCCAUGGGAGUCGGUAACACCCGAAGCCUGUAGUCUAACCGCAAGGAGGACGCAGUCGAAGGUGGGAUUGAUGACUGGGGUG